CAUCUCUGAAAAGAUGUGUCCUAAGGUGAGGCACGACCUCAUAAGUAAAUCUGAGGGGAUCGUAUGGCUGGAUCUGAAUACGUGACUCUCUCUGAACAUCAUCCGUGGAGGUUAGCUGACGACCCUCACAUGGGACCAUACAUCCACUAAACGGGGUGCGACCCCCUGUGUGCCGGUCAGCUACUGAGUCAUCCUAUGUGGCUCCACGUUCCCCGCUCGGGGACAGGUUUCUAGGCCCAGGAGUCCUGUUCAGAAGACCCCUUAGCUAUCACCACUAUGGCUGGGCACCUAUCACACUUCCCUAUCCGGAUCUGCAAAGCUCAACGAUCACCGUACCGGAGCUCUGUCUCGACGGUACGGUAUCGGAGGAGAGAGGGAAGUGGAGGUUCUGAUGAGACUAUCUACACUGCUCAACUCUAGCGGGCUACCUGCAGUUACCGUGGUGACCUAUUAUUCUUUCUAGGGUGGACCUUGGUGAUAAGAUAAGGAACCACUACAAGGGAAGUAAGAUUCAGAUUACCUUG